GACGAACGCUGGCGGCGUGCUUAACACAUGCAAGUCGAACGGAAAGGCCCUGCUUUUGUGGGGUGCUCGAGUGGCGAACGGGUGAGUAACACGUGAGUAACCUGCCCUUGACUUUGGGAUAACUUCAGGAAACUGGGGCUAAUACCGGAUAGGAGCUCCUGCUGCAUGGUGGGGGUUGGAAAGUUUGGGCGGUUGGGGAUGGACUCGCGGUUUAUCAGCUUGUUGGUGGGGUAGUGGCUUACCAAGGCUUUGACGGGUAGCCGGCCUGAGAGGGUGACCGGCCACAUUGGGACUGAGAUACGGCCCAGACUCCUACGGGAGGCAGCAGUGGGGAAUAUUGCACAAUGGGCGGAAGCCUGAUGCAGCAACGCCGCGUGCGGGAUGACGGCCUUCGGGUUGUAAACCGCUUUCGCCUGUGACGAAGCGUGAGUGACGGUAAUGGGUAAAGAAGCACCGGCUAACUACGUG
rnacentral:rRNA from 1 species